GCCCAGAUAGCUCAGUCGGUAGAGCAGGGGACUGAAAAUCCCCGUGUCGGUGGUUCGAUUCCGCCUCUGGGCA
rfam:Clostridium formicaceticum strain ATCC 27076, complete genome.